rnacentral:rRNA from 1 species
UCGAGCGAAUGGAUUAAGAGCUUGCUCUUAUGAAGUUAGCGGCGGACGGGUGAGUAACACGUGGGUAACCUGCCCAUAAGACUGGGAUAACUCCGGGAAACCGGGGCUAAUACCGGAUAAUAUUUUGAACUGCAUGGUUCGAAAUUGAAAGGCGGCUUCGGCUGUCACUUAUGGAUGGACCCGCGUCGCAUUAGCUAGUUGGUGAGGUAACGGCUCACCAAGGCAACGAUGCGUAGCCGACCUGAGAGGGUGAUCGGCCACACUGGGACUGAGACACGGCCCAGACUCCUACGGGAGGCAGCAGUAGGGAAUCUUCCGCAAUGGACGAAAGUCUGACGGAGCAACGCCGCGUGAGUGAUGAAGGCUUUCGGGUCGUAAAACUCUGUUGUUAGGGAAGAACAAGUGCUAGUUGAAUAAGCUGGCACCUUGACGGUACCUAACCAGAAAGCCACGGCUAACUACGUGCCAGCAGCCGCGGUAAUACGUAGGUGGCAAGCGUUAUCCGGAAUUAUUGGGCGUAAAGCGCGCGCAGGUGGUUUCUUAAGUCUGAUGUGAAAGCCCACGGCUCAACCGUGGAGGGUCAUUGGAAACUGGGAGACUUGAGUGCAGAAGAGGAAAGUGGAAUUCCAUGUGUAGCGGUGAAAUGCGUAGAGAUAUGGAGGAACACCAGUGGCGAAGGCGACUUUCUGGUCUGUA